CCAAAGGCCCUUUUUAGGGCCACCAUGUGGUCAUCGGGAGAGCUGU
rfam:Dipodomys ordii contig_22832, whole genome shotgun sequence.